GCCUAAUACAUGGCAAGUCGAACGGCAGCAGCAAUGCUGUAGUGGCGAACGGGUGAGUAACACGUUGGUGACCUGCCCCAAAGAUGGGAAUAACACCUGGAAACGGGUGGCAAAACCGAUAAGCUUGAGGGAGUUAGAGAGCCUCAAGUAAAAGAGGAAUCUACGUUUGGGAGGGGCCUGCGGCCCAUCAGUUAGUUGGUGAGGGUAACGGCCCACCAAGACGGCGACGGGUAGGGGACCUGAGAGGGUGGUCCCCCACAAUGGAACUGAAACACGGUCCAUACACCUGGCGGGUGGCAGCAGGUAGGGAAUAUUGCUAAAUGGGCGAAAGCCUGAAGCAGCAACGCCGCGUGGACGAAGGAGGCCUUCGGGUCGUAAAGUCCUUUUAUGUGGGAAAAGGAAGGAUGGUACCACAUGAAUAAGUCUCGGCUAACUACGUGCCAGCAGCCGC
rnacentral:rRNA from 1 species